rnacentral:rRNA from 1 species
AAUGUGACGUUACCAAACUGUUGCCUCGGCGGGAUCUCUGCCCCGGGUGCGUCGCAGCCCCGGACCAAGGCGCCCGCCGGAGGACCAACCAAAACUCUUAUUGUAUACCCCCUCGCGGGUUUUUUUUAUAAUCUGAGCCUUCUCGGCGCCUCUCGUAGGCGUUUCGAAAAUGAAUCAAAACUUUCAACAACGGAUCUCUUGGUUCUGGCAUCGAUGAAGAACGCAGCGAAAUGCGAUAAGUAAUGUGAAUUGCAGAAUUCAGUGAAUCAUCGAAUCUUUGAACGCACAUUGCGCCCGCCAGUAUUCUGGCGGGCAUGCCUGUCCGAGCGUCAUUUCAACCCUCGAACCCCUCCGGGGGGUCGGCGUUGGGGAUCGGCCCUGCCUUGGCGGUGGCCGUCUCCGAAAUACAGUGGCGGUCUCGCCGCAGCCUCUCCUGCGCAGUAGUUUGCACACUCGCAUCGGGAGCGCGGCGCGUCCACAGCCGUUAAACACCCAACUUCUGAAAUGUUGACCUCGGAUCAGGUAGGAAUACCCGCUGAACUUAAGCAUAUCAAUAAGCGGAGGA